AGGAGCUUGCUUGUAGCGUAGUCAUUUUGUGAAUGUUGCUCGUGCUUCUGACAUUUUAUAUGCCCCGUGGCAAGUCCUACCGUCGCUCUGAGGCGGCUAAGUGGAGGAUGGUGGAGCGACAGUUGGCCUCCAGUGACGCUGGUGCAUGUAUGUGGCGUGCCUUCUUGAAAUCAACUUUUCAUGUAUAUCCUUGCUGUAUGACUGAGUUAAACUCCUAACUUUGUGUAUUUUUAUAGUCUUGAAAAGUUCACAUAUUGUGUUGAAGUGCUUGAACUUUGAAUUUGGUCUCCUUUUU